CAUUAGUGUCCUGAUACACAGUUUAAUAUGCACCCACCAUGCCAUAUAGCACCGUCUCUUGGUGCCUCCUGCAGUUCGGCUAGAUAUAUUCGGUCUACUCACAGUGUUCUUUUUUGUUACUUUCUAGAGGUGUGCCUGAGACGAAGGUUUUAUGUAUACUCCUAUACAUGCUAUAUAUAUAUAUAUAUAAUAAUAAUACAUGAAGACUGUUGUCUCUUAUUUGUGUUUGUGACUAUGUAUACUGUAUUGUUUAUUAUUAUAUUUGUAAAAUAAUGAUAUUGUAAUGAUAUUAUAUCAUGCUCCUUGUGAGCCCAUUUUAUGGAAAUAAAGCAUCUUCUUUUUUUU
rnacentral:lncRNA from 1 species